GCCCUGGGCGCAGUCCCCGUCAGAGCCAGCGGGAAGGUGGCGGAUGAUACGAGGAGAACCAGCCAGCUGCCCAAGGGUGCAGAGGGCAACCGUGUGGGCAAGGGCGACCUGCAGUCCACCCUGCUGGAGGGGCACGGCACGGCACCGCCUGACCUGGAUCUCUCGGCCAUCAACGGUGAGCGCCAGGCCUUCUUGGAUGCUGGGCUUGGGGCUGUGACCGCGUGCCAGCCAGGGAAGGGAACCCUCAGCCGGGACCGCAUGGCGUUGGGCUCGGGUCGGUCCAUCUACUCUUAUCGCUGGGCAGCAGCAGUGAGGGCAGCUCCCAGGCAGCCCCACGGGCACCGAGGGACAGCUGUGCUCCUGCAGGCUGCCUGGCAGGGUGGACAGAGUGAGCAUGUUGUGCUUCUGCAGUUCACAACACAGUGGGCAGUGAUCACCAGACUGUGAGUCCGUGACACUCAUGCCUCCCGCUUCUUUACCGUAGACAAGAGCAUGGUUAGGAAGACACCACAGUUAGAUAAGACAGCGUCAUGGAAAGCCAAGUCGACCUCCUUCUCGGCCCCUCAGAGAAAGAGCCCGGAUCUGGCGGAGGUGGUGGAGAUGGUGGCUUCCCAGACGUUACUGCUGACCUUGCUGACGGUGAAGAUGGAGAACGGGCUGGCGCGGCUGGAGGAGCGGGCGGAGCGGAGCCUCCUCCUCGUGUGCCGGGAGCGCGGGCGGCUGCAGCGGGAGGCCCACGAGCGGAGGCGCGAACUGCUGCUGCGGCAGAGACGCCGGGAGCUGGCUGACGUCCUGGACGCCCAGACCGAGGCGCUGCGCCCCUUCGAGGCGGUGGCUGGGCGCUUCCAGGAGCGGUACAGGACGCUGGCCUCGGCCCUGGGCUCCACCCGGCACGAGCUGCCCCUGCGCGCCGUCCACCUGGAGCACGGCGGCUGGCAGCUCCUCGACGCCCUGCAGGCCGAGCUGACGACCACCCACCGCCUGCUGGCCGAGCUGGGCAUCGGCGCCGAGGAGGACGGCCCGCUGCUGGCCCUGCUGGCUGAGUUGAGGGAGGCGACCACGCAGAAGGACUGCGAGCUCCGGAGGAGCUUCGAGCAGGUGCUGGAGCUGUCCGCCAAGGCCAGCAAGGAGGCGGCCCUGGCCAGCCAGGAGGCCUGGGAGGAUGCACAGGGCGCUGAGGCCGCCCACCGCUGGUACUUCAGCCCCAACGGAGGCACCGCAGGGACCCUCGGGGAAACCCAGCUCUCAGCCCCGGCCCGGAGAGGCGCUCCCUGCGCACCACUGGGGAAGGCUGUGCGGUGA
rnacentral:lncRNA from 1 species